rnacentral:lncRNA from 1 species
AGGUAAAUAUAUUUAUUUUAACGCAAAAAAGUAUAUGGAUGGCAGUUAGAAUGAGAAAUCCUGUCAUUUUGCAUUUUUGAAUAUGUAAAGAAACAUAAUAAAACCUUUUUACCAAUCUACCCUCUAACUCCAAAUCAUUUCUUAUUAUUGAAAUUAGCGGUAUUUACUUUACUUAAGCCUAUUAAUUGUAUUUGGUAUUCCAAUGAUAUGUUUACAUAUGUGGGAACAGGUGUUAUUUGUUAUUACAGUACCAUACUGGUACCAGGGAUUGCCCCAUUUAUAUAAAAAAAAAAACUAUACUAAAAUGCUGUUUGAACCAGUACUUGCAUUUCCACGACACCAUAAAACAAUUUACCCGUUAGUGAAGUAACUUUUCAUUUCCCCCACAUCCAAAACAAAAUUGUAUUUCAAUAAAAAAAUCCCAAAAUAAUAUUUUUAUUAUUAAAAACUAAUCAGACUGAAAUCCUGUAAAGGCUCCUAUCAGUGCAUGACAAUUAGUGGAUCAAUUUUUAUUUAUAUUUCCAAUGAUGCAUACAUGGAUGCGCAGGAUUAUUUCACAAAAAAUAUGAGGUUGUGUGUCUAGUUUAAGCACAAAAAGUUUUAUUCAAAUAUGUAAGCGAACAAA